AUUCUGCCCUUCAACCCAAUUCUCUCCCUAUAUUCUUCUCCUCCUCCACGAAGACACUGACAUCCUCUCUCGAGUGUCAAUGGCAAAGAAUGACUCGUUCUUGGGAUCAGUGAGCUAGUUCUUGAAGCGGUGCCAGCAAUCCGGCGAGUCUUCGACGAUUGAGUCUCCAGAGAUCAGAGCCAAACGAGCACAUGAGGCUCUACGAUGAUCUCCUUACCAACGAGUUUGAUUAUCUUCUCAAUUCUCCCUAGUUUUUUGCAGUGACUGUGAUUGUAGAUUGAAUCUAUUUUCUGUACUUGUUUUGAAAAUUCCAGUUCAUCUGUGUAAAUCGGAGUCGUUUUCGUUCAAUUAUCAUACAAAUUUGCGCAUAGUGCUUCAGAUUUGUUUGCUCUUUUGAUGAAAUUGACGAGUGGGAACAAAAUUUUGUAGACUAAUUUUGUUUUCUGUGUCAGGCAAUGUAUCAUUCACUUCCAAUGCGGUAUAAGAGAGUUGUGGAUCUUCAUAACAUGCUUGGAGGAGAGAAUCAUCAUCAUCUUCGUCAGCAUCACCUUCGUUCUUCAAUUUCUGAAGAAAUGGAGUUGAAACCAGGUCUCUCAGCUCUCGUCACUGGCGGAGCUUCUGGAAUUAAUGUCACGAUGAAGAUUAUGACAUUCUCUCAACAAGGAUCUCAUGGUAUUUGCAUACUUUCUGCAAAUGGUACCAUAUCAAAUGUCACACUUCGACAGCCCAGUACUUCUGGAGGUACUUUUAACAUAUGAGGGCUGAUUUGAGAUACUUUCAUUGUCUGGAUCAUAUAUGCCAACUGAGAAUGAAGGAACAAAGAGUAGGUGAGGUGGCAUGAGCGUCUCUUUGGCAAGUUCAGAUGGUAGAGUUGUUGGACUGGCUAGUCUAUUAAUAGCUGCAGGACCUGUGUAGCUAACAUGGUUUCUUAGGAAGAAAAAACAAAAGAAGAUAGUCAUUAUAUUAUUCUAAUGAUUAGUUCGAAAGAGCAGAAUGCCACCUUCCUUUCCCUUUGUCAUCUCUCUGUAACAGUUUAGGUAUCCAAUGAAUGAAGUUUGGUUCCAUUUUGAGUUGUAAAAAAAGGUUGUUCUUGUUUAAAGUUGUGUUUAGAAUUUGAAAACAACUUCAUUUAUUAAGUUGUGUCAUGUGAUUGACAGUGACUCGGUCAGUGACUUUGACAGUUACAUGAUCAGUAACUUGGUCAGUGAUAAAACCAGUGACUUGAUGUCAAUAGUGAAUUGGCUAGGGAUUCACAGUGACAUAAUCAGUGACUUGAGGUUAUCAGUGACUUC
rnacentral:lncRNA from 1 species